rnacentral:rRNA from 1 species
CCCUUAGAUGUUCUGGGCUGCACGCGCGCUACACUGAAGCUAUCAACACGUUUUCCCUCCCUGAGAAGGGCGGGUAACCUUUUGAAUCAGCUUCGUGGUAGGGAUCGGGGCUUGCAAUUGUUCCCCGUGAACCAGGAAUUCCUAGUAGACGCGAGUCGUAAGCUCGCAUCGAUUAAGUCCCUGCCCUUUGUACACACCGCCCGUCGCUACUACCGAUUGAACGUUUUAGUGAGGCAUUUGGACCGACGCAUCUCAGUUUAACCGCUGGUUUGUGUUGGAAAGACUUCCAAACUUGAGCGUUUAGAGGAAGUAAAAGUCGUAACA